rnacentral:rRNA from 1 species
GGUCAGGAUUAACGCUGGCGGCGUGCCUAAUACAUGCAAGUCGAAUGGUAGUAGCAAUACAAACCAUGGCGAACGGGUGAGUAACACGUAGGUAACCUGUCUUUAAGACGAGGAUAACCGUUGGAAACGACGGAUAAUACUGGAUAGGACAUUAUAUGGGGCAUCCCAAAAUGUUUAAGGAUUAUUAUGUCACUUAGAGAGGGGCCUGCGGCGCAUUAGCUAGUUGGUGAGAUAACAGCCCACCAAGGCGAUGAUGCGUAGCCGGACUGAGAGGUUGAACGGCCACAAUGGGACUGAGAACGGCCCAUACUCCUACGGGAGGCAGCAGUAGGGAAUUUUCGGCAAUGGGCGCAAGCCUGAACCCGAGCAACGCCGCGUGAACGAAGAAGUUAUUCGUAAUGUAAAGUUCUUUUAUCUGGGAAGAAAAAACAAAUUGACUGUACCAGAUGAAUAAGCUCCGGCUAACUACGUGCCAGCCGCAGC